UACGAAGGGGGCUAGCGUUGCUCGGAAUCACUGGGCGUAAAGGGUGCGUAGGCGGGUCUUUAAGUCAGAGGUGAAAUCCUGGAGCUCAACUCCAGAACUGCCUUUGAUACUGAGGAUCUUGAGUAUGGGAGAGGUGAGUGGAACUGCGAGUGUAGAGGUGAAAUUCGUAGAUAUUCGCAAGAACACCAGUGGCGAAGGCGGCUCACUGGCCCAUUGCUGACGCUGAGGCACGAAAGCGUGGGGAGCAAACAGG
rnacentral:rRNA from 1 species